rnacentral:rRNA from 1 species
UACGGAGGGUGCAAGCGUUAUCCGGGUUCACUGGGUUUAAAGGGUGCGUAGGUGGGCUGGUAAGUCAGUGGUGAAAUCUCCAGGCUUAACUUGGAAACUGCCAUUGAUACUAUCAGUCUUGAAUACCGUGGAGGUCAGCGGAAUAUGUCAUGUAGCGGUGAAAUGCUUAGAUAUGACAUAGAACACCAAUUGCGAAGGCAGCUGGCUACACGAAUAUUGACACUGAUGCACGAAAGCGUGGGGAUCAAAUAGG